AUGGACUUUGUUCUAAAAACAAACGGUUUUAUACUCCUCUCAGUCCGAUCCCCUUGGCUGUAAUGUUUCUUCUUCAUUAUUGUGACAUGUGCAGGGGAAAGAGGGGAGAGACUCAGAGAAAAGAUAAUGAUGCUGUGUAUGGGGAGGUCCAGUUGCUGGGGAGAUGUGCACCGAUGCAUACAGGACAGGAGCAUAUUGACGCCAGUCGCUGCAGAGCUCAAGGUCUUUUCAAGGCUGACCACAGCUGUAACAGAGAGAAACUGAACAGUGAUAGCAUAAUAACAAGCAAUGUACCUUUGUUCAUGUGGAAAAGUAAUUACUGUUAGGUUUCUGAUGUGUAAAGUAGCUUGUUUCCUUAUCUACUUAGGUGGAAGUCAAAUUAAAAAUGAACAACAUGA